AUUGACAGAAAUCUCUUGGGAUGAUCCAUAUCAAUCUCUUUUGAGACUACCUUAUCAUCAAUCUUCCCAUUAUUCCUAUCAUUAUUUGAACCAGUACCUGCUUGCCUUCGGCUCCUCCUCCUCUACAGGCUUGCAUCCAGGCUCUGUGAGGUGCACGGUGACCCUACCUGCAUGCAUAAGAGGAUUAUUUCCUCUUUUUCCCAUCCCCCCUUCCUUCCAUCUGGGAUUUUCCAUCUGGGAUUUUGAGCCAAUCACGGCUAACUACUCAGGUUUUUCAGUCCAUUUUUUCAGACUACUGCCCCCCAUUGGUUCCUGACGAAGCCCCCUUGGGCGAAACUAGUAGAACCGUUACAUGUGGGAUGAAAUGAAGAUCACCU